CAGUCGCCGCGGUAAUACGAAAGGUCCAAGCGUUACUCGGAAUUACUGGGCGUAAAGCGCGCGUAGGCGGCUUUGUAUGUCGAUUGUGAAAGCCCCGGGCUCAACCUGGGAACUGCAGUCGAAACUGCAAAGCUUGAAUGUUGGAGAGGUUGGGGGAAUACCUAGUGGAGAAGUGAAAUUCGUAGAUAUUCGGAAGAACACCAGUGGCGAAGGCGGCUCACUGGACGACUGUUGCCGCUGAGGUACGAAAGCGUGGGGAGCAAACAGGAUUAGAUACCCCUGUAGUCCCUGUCUCUUAUAC
rnacentral:rRNA from 1 species